ACUCCUACGGGAGGCAGCAGUGGGGAAUAUUGCACAAUGGGCGCAAGCCUGAUGCAGCCAUGCCGCGUGUAUGAAGAAGGCCUUCGGGUUGUAAAGUACUUUCAGCAGUGAGGAAGGUGGGUAUGUUAAUAGCAUACUCAUUUGACGUUAGCUGCAGAAGAAGCACCGGCUAACUCCGUGCCAGCAGCCGCGGUAAUACGGAGGGUGCGAGCGUUAAUCGGAAUUACUGGGCGUAAAGCGCAUGCAGGUGGUUUGUUAAGUCAGAUGUGAAAGCCCGGGGCUCAACCUCGGAAUUGCAUUUGAAACUGGCAAACUAGAGUACUGUAGAGGGGGGUAGGAAUUUCAGGUAGUAGACGGUGAAAAUGCGUAGAGAUACUGAAGGAAUAACCGGUGGCGAAGGCGGCCCCCUGGACAGAUACUGACACUCAGAUGCGAAAGCGUGGGAGCAAACAGGAUUAGAUCCCCUGGUAAGGCUCUGC
rnacentral:rRNA from 1 species